AGUGAACGCUGGCGGCAGGCCUAACACAUGCAAGUCGAACGGCAGCACAAGAGAGCUUGCUCUCUGGGUGGCGAGUGGCGGACGGGUGAGGAAUGCAUCGGAAUCUGCCCAUUUGUGGGGGAUAACCUCGGGAAACCGGGACUAAUACCGCAUACGACCUACGGGUGAAAGCAGGGGAUCUUCGGACCUUGCGCAGAUGGAUGAGCCGAUGCCGGAUUAGCUAGUUGGAGGGGUAAAGGCCCACCAAGGCGACGAUCCGUAGCUGGUCUGAGAGGAUGAUCAGCCACACUGGGACUGAGACACGGCCCAGACUCCUACGGGAGGCAGCAGUGGGGAAUAUUGGACAAUGGGCGCAAGCCUGAUCCAGCCAUGCCGCGUGUGUGAAGAAGGCCUUCGGGUUGUAAAGCACUUUUGUUGGGAAAGAAAAGCAGCCGGUUAAUACCCGGUUGUCAUGACGGUACCCAAAGAAUAAGCACCGACUAACUUCGUG
rnacentral:rRNA from 1 species